rnacentral:lncRNA from 1 species
UUAUACACCUACGACACCAAUAAUUUUUUUUUCAUUUUUUCUCUCACCGUGUAUACUUGUAUCUUCACAAGUAUUUUUAGAAUUACAAACCAGUGUUACUUGACACAAUGGAGGCAUUAAUAAAUAAAUGUUGUCUAAAAUUGUCAUUGUACAAACCCAACAAUGCCCGGGCCCAAUUAAACCUAGAAUAGCCCAACACCUAACCCUAGCCCACUAGCCCAAAGCAGAAACCACUGCAGAAACCCUAGGCUGUUAGCAGCAAGUUCAGCGCCGCAACGGCCUCGCCAAUGCGGCGCCCCUCGCUCCCGCACUUUGCGCGUCAAUCCCGCACAUCGCGCCGUCGCGAAUCUCGGACCUUCCCCACAAGCACGUACCUGCAACAAGCGAAAGAGAAUAGCAAAAGAUCCGGCCAACAAAGAGAAACAGAAGGGAUUUCUUUAGAUUUUGAUUUCAUUUUUUCCCAUUUUUGACUAUUUAAAAGGCCAUUUAGAAAUCUGUAAAGGGGGGAGUGUAAAAAAGAUACGAAAAUAGAGGGACCGAAAGAAAUACAAAGGCACAGAGGAAAUUUUCUUUUUUUUUGAAAUAAAAAGGUUUUCUUUUUUUUGUCGAUUAUCGUUCUUUCAUUUUUUUUCUUCAUUUGUACAUAUAUAUAUAUUUGAUUUUUUUACUUUCGCUAUUUUUUUAUUUAUUUUUGCUUAAAAUAUAAAGAAAGGAAGAGAAAACCUACCUUUUUCGCCGGAAUCGCCGAGUUGGUGCCCCUCUCUGUCGCGAUCGAAGAUCGGGGCAUCGACGGAAGCCUUGGCACGAGGCUGAGCGGUGGCAUAUAAGGGUUGAGGAAACCCUAAAAGGGUCUGGUUUCUCCUUUAGAAAGGGGAACCCAAAAGAACAAAUAAAUGUUCUUUUGCUUAAAUUUUUUUUUCUUUAAAACCUAAAAGAUGGACAAAGCAGGCGCCGUUUGGUUUUUGGGUGGGGUCUGCGCAUAUCAACCUUAAAUGGGAGAUUUGCACUACUAGUCCCUCUCCUUUGCGCCACGUUUUAUUAAGCCAGUUAUUUCUUUUUAAUUUGACCCAAAUGUUUUACCUUGUUUCAAAUCGGUCCUCAUAGUAGUGCAGCGUUUUAGGGAGGCGGAUUUAUUCCAUUUGGGCCCCCUCAGAUAAUGCGUGCGUUGCAAAUUGGUCCUGUUUUAUUUUAAUUUCAUCUUUUUUGGUUAUUUUGUUUUUUUCGCAAUUUGUUUUUUAAUUUUUAUUUUUAAAAGUAUUACUAUAUUAUUGAUUAUCAUUUAUUACUAUUUCUAUAUUUAUACACGCAUUUCUUAUAUAGUAUAUAUAUACAUAUUUCUUUAUAUAAUAUAUAUAACUUUUAUAAACACAUGCAUUCAUACGUUUUUUUCUUUUAUAGUUUUUUUUUUGUUUUUUAACUUUCAUAUAUUUCAUAUUUUAUAUACACUUAUACAUUUUUUAUUUUGUAAAUAUAUACACAUAUACAUUUUUUUAUCUUUAUUUUAUUUUCAUGAUUUUCAUAUACAUAUAUACAUGCAUUUUUUUAUUAGUUUUUUUGGUUAGAUGAAUUUCAUUCUUUCUUUUUGUUUGCAAAUUUAUUUGUAAAUUGUACUUGUAUAUAUACUUGUAAAUAUUUAUUCAUAUAUGUUUGAAAUUAAAGUUGUGUUUCAUAUUAUACAUUAACUUUUAACAUACCUUUCGAGAAAUAUAUUUUGGUUUUAUCGAAGCAUUAAAAUUAUCAUAUUUUUACAAAUUUCCAAAAUAUUUGGCAUUCAUGAUUCUCGGGAAAGAUUGUGUCCUAACUUACUGGAUUGCGAUUAUUUUUCGAUGAAUUUAGAAAGCCAAGUAUUUGUUUUGCAAUAAAUUCGCAAAUUUUAAAUAAAAGCUUAUUCUCAAGAAUUCAAAAUGUUGGGUCCUAACUUACUGGCCAUGACAUUUUCUUCUCGAAAUAAGAAUUUUCAAAAGCAAAAGGCAAUAUUCGGGUAUUUUGAAGAUUUAAAAACAUUGUGCCCUAACUCACUAGGUGUGGUGUUUUAUUUCUUUGAAAUAAGAAUGUCUUAUUAUUUUAAUUCGUUCAUGAAAUAAAAAGUUUCCUUUUAAAAUCUUUUCAAAUUUUCGACACCAAGGCAUUAAAAAAUCAAUUUGGUACCAAUUUUGGGCGUUACGAGGGUGCUAAUCCUUCCUCGUGCGUAACUGACUCCCGAACUUGUUUUCUCAAAUUUCGUAGACCAAAAUUAUUUUUAAGGUGGGCCGAUCACACCUUAAUAAAGGAUCGGUGGCGACUCCAUUUUUGUUUUUUAAAGUCGACAACUAAAAUUUUGUUUUCAAAAAAGCAGUUUCGACAGCUUGGCGACUCCACUGGGGACUUUAGAGAGUCGAGCCAUAAACUGAUUAUGUUUGUCUUUGUGUCAGAAAUCAAAAGUUUUUUUAAAAAAAUUCAUGAGUUCCCUUCAUACUCAUUGAUUUUUUUCCCAUCAUGGUGUUAGUAACUUUGUAUUUGCAUUUACAUUUUGCAUUACAUGGUCAGUUUUACCCUUUAAGUGGGACCGAGAAACUAGUCCUUCGUGAGGUCUUCACCUCCGUGCAGGGUAGUGGACCGCUUCCGGGAUACAUCCGUACCUAUGUCUUCGUGAGAUUUUCAUCUCCGUGCAGCCAUAGAGAAAUGUAUCCCCCUGAACUAAACUUGAUCCACAUGAGCCUAUAAUGGGUGAGGAUCGAGGAAUCUGCUGGUUCGGGUACCCUUACUCUAGAAACUAAACCUCAUAUAGUGCACUUUAGGAACUUGCCCUAGGUAGAGCUAUACCAAACCUUAGGGGAUUCCUGAAUAAAUGCUUUUGCUAUUUCAUGUUUGUAUUGGAUUAUAUCUUUUUGGUGUGAUACUGACUUGGGUUUAUUUUGUUUCGAUUGCAUGACAUCAUGAUUGCAUUGCAUUUUCAUUAUAAAAAGAGGUGUUGAUUCACGUUCGGUUGUUAAAUAGAGAACUUGUCAUAAGAAAAUGGGUUUCUUUAUAAAGUAGAAAAUAAUACGGUUGCCCGAAUAUGUUCCGAGAAAACACAACAAGAGAAAGAUAAUAGUUUAAUGGAGGAUUACACAACCAUUGCUCCGUUGCCCGAAGACUCAAGCUGACGAAGAUUAUUCGAGAGCCGCUGAACUUUUUUUAAAGGGAAGCCAACGAGCAUCACGACGAUAAAGGAGCAACGAGUCACGGCCCGGAUCAAGUAAAAAGGAGAUAGAAGAGACAUCCCUUUUGAAGAGUUUGUGAGAUUUAUCUUAAUGCUUGAAUGAAGAAGAGGAUCGAAUGACUCCGCCUAUAAGGGCAAAAUCGUAUAUAUAUCUGCUUUAUGUAAAGAGAUUUAUUUUCUAGUAAAGUUGUUCUAAUAGAAUUGAACCAAGAAUCAACGUCUCUUUUCGCAUUCACUUCAUUACGUGCAUUAAGGACCAUUAAAAGACCCUAAUUGAGUAAAUUUAUUUCAGCUAAAAAACCAACAUUCUUGCGGUACCCGAACAGAAACUAAAAGAAUGGGCCAAAGGUUGGAGAGAUUAGAGCUGAUGCAAAUACAGAUGCUAGAGCAAUUGGCCAAAUUUCAAAAAGAUAUGAAGGAUCAGAUGCUAGAAAUCCAAAGAAAUUUGAUGAGCCAGUUAACCCAGUUAUUGGAUAUGAGGUUAGGAAAAGGAAAAAACCCAGUGGUCCACAUUGGGAAUGAUAAUGAAGGCCCUGCAUAUCUUCCAGGCUUUACCCCAACAAACAUCCAAGCACAACCAAACACAUAUCCACAAAGGGUAACUGUUAACAUUCGACCACAGUACCAGACCAAUACCUCGACACCGGUGAAUUUCGCGACAGGCUCAGGUUCCAAUCUUAGGGGAAAUCUAACUAAUCCUGUUGUCUUCGAUGAUCUAGCAGAAACAAAACAGGCGAAAGUAGAGUUUUCAAAACAAUUUGAAAAUCGUUGCAAACGGAAUGGCCAAGAGUGGAACUCUCAAGACAAUGCUUCAAAAGUCUCGAGGAAGAGGAAAAAUAAGGUGAAUAAUAUGGGUAGGUAUAACGAGAGUUGUUCAAAGCCGAUUACCGCAAACCAGCCAAAGACAGUUACUAUUGGCCAUCAGAUCCCUCCAAGACAAGAAUCUGGCACAAAGCAAAACAUUAAGAAGUCUCAAUUUGCACCAAUCCCAAUAUUGUACCAGGAGCUGUAUCAAAGUUUGUUUGACGCACAUGUUGUCUCCCCUUUCUACUUGAAGCCUUUACAACCUCCGUAACCCAAAUGGUACGACACAAAUGCACAAUGUGACUAUCAUGCGGGAAUUACGGGGCAUUCUAUAGAAAAUUGCACUGCCUUUAGAAAGCUGGUCGAAAGGUUUAUCAAUAUGGGCAUUGUCAAAUUUGAGGAUUUAUUCAGUACAGAAAACCCGCUACUCAAUCAUACGGAUAAUGAAGGGACUGCGAUGAAUGAAGAAAUGUUGGGAAAUGUACACAUCAGUGCCGAACACGAAGAAACAACUGGAGAAGAGAUCUUGUUAGAUGUUCGCCCUUUAUAAACCUGGGAAUGUUCUAAAUAGUUGGACUGCAGAGGAAACCCUGUAGUAUUUAGAGUUUGUUAGAGUAAUGUUCAGAACACACUUGUUGCUAUCAGCCUAGAAGCAAUAAGAAUUUCUUUGUGAAAUAGGCUCACGUCUGAAUAUUAUUAUUUUAAUGAAUACAUUAUUGCAAUCAUCUUUGAGCAAAUGUUCUUUCAGUCUUUACGUUUUCGUCGUUCUUUUUUAUUUUUUCUACUAAACCAUUCAUUCACUCAUUCAUAUUAUUCAUACAUUCUUUUUUAUAUUCUUUGGUACCCACUAUGGGUCCCCAAAUAUCAAUGACAUGAGUGACGCUGCUACAGACCCAAAAUCUCCUUUUGAGUGAGACAUGUGUUUAGAUGGAUCUCACAACUUUGAAGAUGACAUGGAUUGUAGCUUAUUUCUGGACUUAUUAAGGAUGGUAGAGCAGGAAGGAAAUUUUACCUCAUGAGGAGACAAUAGAAACUGUGACCUUGAGGCAACAUGCAUAACCGAAAAAACAAAGCAAGACGUUGUUGGGUUACUUCAAGCAUUCAAAGAUGCCUUCGCAAUGACAUACCAGGAUGUGCCCGGUUUAAGCACUGUUAUUGCAAUCUGAACAACAACACGAUAUCAGAAAUUUGCAGUAUGUUCAAGGUGAAUAUCAUAAAUGGUGUAGUGAAAACUCUACCGGGGCAAUGCCACUCUUUUCAGUUUAUCACGAUUUUUUCAUUGAAGUUGAAAUUCUUUCUCUUCGAGUUUUGACUAAGCUGAAGUAGGAUAAAGAUCCAAUCCCGACACGAUUAGUUGAACUUAAUUAAAGAAAAAGGCUAGAAACUAUUCAUCAGGGUCAGAUGUACCAAGAAAUGAAUGAUGCGAGCCUAUAGCAAAAGGUUUGUCCCAGAGAAUUCCACAAUGGCAACCUAAUGCUGAAGAAGAUCCUCACUCUACAAAGAAUAUAACAGAUGCCAAAUUGGGAAAAACAUUAUGUUAUAGAGAAGGUCUUUUCCAAAGGAGCUUUGAUUUUGAGCGAGAUGGAUAAUAAACCUGCAAAGUCCUGUAAACUCAGGUUCAGUCAGGAAAUACUCCGCUUAAAGAAUGAGAUGACCAAGGUGAAAACCCACAAAGGGUGCUUUGAGUCCAAAAAAUAAAAAUUAAAAAAGAGAAAAAUGGAGAGGCUAAGGUGAAAACCCGCAAAGGGCGCCUUAGACCAAAGGGGAUUUGAGUUGAAAACCCGAAAAGGGCGGCUCAAAUAUUGAUUAGAAUGGGGCAUGAGAUUAUCGGAGUAGCUCAAAUACUGAUCAGAAUGGGGCAUGCAAUGGUCUUGCUAUACCUAAAUCAACAGGAAAGGGUAGGCGACAUCUUGGGGCAUCGACAAAGUACUCCUAAACACAUGUCAAACUCAGAAUGAUCUUCAGAAAGUCUGUACAGCAAAGUUCAAGCUGCGAUAUUUACGGCACCUAAUCUUUAUAUUAUUUUUUGUUAUUUUUGGAACACUUCAUUCAUUUCCAAGAUAUGUGUUCCUAAAUCAAUUUCUUUGUUAUCCAUCUUUAUUAUCUUUGACAGCUUAUUCAUUUCGAGCUAUGCUCAGAACCAACUCAAUUCUUAUCCAUGAUCUUUUUUUGCAAGCAUGUUGCAUUAGAAUAAUGAUUAAUGGACCAAUAAAACUUUCACAAGGGAAGUUUUGCAUAUUACCCUAGAAGUUUCUGAAUAAUAUAGGAACCUCAAACAAGACUAUUGUUUAGAACGCACCAGGUUGGAAAUAUGAUAAAGAAGAGUCUAAAUUAAGACAAUCCCUUUGAAUUUUCUUGUCUAAAGUGUUAAUUGAACAAAAUGGCAAGAUGUUGUGUUGGUGACAAAGCUUAAAUGAAUAAGCAAGCAAUGAUCACUGAAUAAUAAUAAGAAGUUGUUCUUGGAGAAGAAUAUUCUUCAUUUGUGCAUGAGCAUUUGGUAUGACUCCCUAGAAAUGGUGAAAAUGACAAAAGAGCUUCAGAUUCUACAUCCUUGAAUUGUGAUAGUGGAGGAUUGAGAAAAGACCAAAUCUUUUACUCUUGGGUUACAACGGGAGAAAGAUGGUACAAAUUUUGCAUCCCAGUGGAUCAAACUUGAAGGUUUAUAGUGAGGGGCAAUCUGGUCAAGUGUUUCUUUAGAGACACCAGCCGAGCAAAAGGUGUUAUAGCACAUUAGUGAUGAAACCUUAAUAAAUUUGGAGUAAUAAUAACUCAAGUGUUAAAAUAUUAUUUUCAUGACAUUCUGCAUUUAUUCAAAUGUCAUUCAUACAUGUCUAGUUAGGAGCAUUUGAUUUAUUCUGAUCAUGACAUCCUAAUCACUAGGCAUAAUUAGGUUCAUAAAGUUUAUUAUACAGGUCAUGUUCCCCAGAGAACAGAUCAGUGAUGAUAACAGAUCUUGCCUUCCUGCAUCGACAGUGAAGCAGAUCGAAGACACCAACCUCGUCUCCCUCGGAGACAGUGGAGCAGGUUGAAGAUAACAGAUCUUGCCUUCUUGCAUAGACAGCAGAGCAGAUCAAAGAUGGCGAAUUUUACCUCCCUGUGGUUACAGUGGAGUACAUUGAAGCCAGUAAUUCUACUUUCCUAGGCUGCAGCGGAAUAGAUUGAGGAUUUUAGAUCUUGCCUCCCUAAGCAGUAGUGGAGCAGGUCAAAGAUGGCGAAUUUUACCUCCCUUUGGUUACGGUGGAGUACAUUGAAGCCAGUAAUUUUACUUCCCUGGGCUGCAGCAGAAUAGAUUGAGGAUUUUAGAUCUUGCCUCCCUAAGCAGUAGUGGAGCAGGUCAAAGAUGGUGGAUUUUACCUCCCUGUGGUUACAGUGGAGUACAUUGAAGCCAAUAAUUCUACUUCCCUGAACAGUAGUGGAAUAGAUUGAGGAUUUUAGAUCUUGCCUCCCUAAGCAGUAGUGGAGCAGGUCAAAGAUGGCGGAUUUUACCUCCCUGUGGUUACAGUGGAGUACAUUGAAGCCAAUAAUUCUAUCUCCCUGGGCAGCAGUGGAAUAGACUGAAGAUUUUAGAUCUUGCCUUCCUGCAUAGAUAGCGAAGUAGAUCGAAGACAGCAGAUUUUACCUCCCUGUGGUUGCAGUGGAGUACAUUGAAGCCAGUAAUUCUAUCUCCCUGGGCAGCAGUGGAAUAGAUUGAAGAUUACAGAUCUUGUCUCCCUAAGCAGUGGUGGAGCAUAUCAAAGAUGACAGAUUUUACCUCCUCGUGGUUACAGUGGAGUACAUUGAAGCCAGUAAUUCUAUCUCCCUGGGCAACAGUGGAAUAGAUUGAAGAUUACAGAUCUUGUCUCCCUAAGCAGUAGUGGAGCAGAUCAAAGAUGGCAGAUUUUACCUCUCCGUGGUUACAGUGGAGUACAUUGAAGCCAUUAAUUCUAUCUCCCUAGGCAGAAGUGGAAUAGAUUGAAGAUUACAGAUCUUGUCUCCCUAAGCAGUAGUGGAGCAGAUCAAAUAUGGCAGAUUUUACCUCCCUGAGGUUGUAGUGGAGUAUAUUGAAGCCAGUAAUUCUAUUCCCCCGGUCGGCAGUGGAAGUAGAUCAAAGAUACCAGAUCUUGUCUUCCCAUACUGGUGGCGAAGCAGAUCGAAGAUGGCAGAUUUUACCUCCCUAAGAUUACAGUGGAGUACAUUGAAGCCAGUUAUUCCUAUUUCCUUGGAUUAAAAUUACAGAUCUCAUCUCUCUGAAGUUGCAGUAGAGCAGAUCGCAUCAAGAUUUAUCUUUUGGUUGUAGCAGAACAAAUUGAAGCUAUAAGUCUUAUUUCCCUGAAGUUACAGUGGAGCAGAUUAAAGAUAGCAAACUUUGUUCUUAUGAGAAGCUACAACAUAUGAAUCCUAUCUCCCUAACAUUUCAGUGGAGUAGAUCGAAGCACCAGUUCCUAUACCUCUGAAGAUGCAGUAGGAAGGAACAAGGCUACUGGAAAGAGAAGCAUUAAAGAAGUUGAGGCUCAAUAAGACCGGGCACAAUUGGGCCUUGUAGUCUUUGCUCUAUUCCCGUUACACGAUAAUGAGCAAAAAGGGGCAGCUGUACAAACCCAACAAUGCCCGGGCCCAACUAAACCUAGAAUGGCCAAACAGCUAACCCUAGCCCGCUAGCCCAAAGCAGAAACCACUACAGAAACCCUAGGCUGUUAGCAGCAAGUUUAGCGCCGCAACGGCCUCGCCAAUGUAGCACCCCUCGCUCCCGCACUUUGCGCGUCAAUCCCGCACAUCGCGUCGUCGCGAAUCUCGCACCUUCCCCAUAACCACGUACCUGCAACAAGCGAAAGAGAAUAGCAAAAGAUCCGGCCAACAAAGAGAAACAGAAGGGAUUUCUUUCGAUUUUGGUUUCAUUUUUUCCCAUUUUCGGCUAUUUAAAAGGCCAUUUAGAAAUCUGUAAAGGGGGGAGUGUAAAAAAGAUACUAAAAUAGAGGGACCGAAAGAAAUACAAAGGCACAGAGGAAAUUUUCUUUUUUUUUUGAAAUAAAAAGGUUUUUUUUUUUUGUCGAUUAUCGUUCUUUCAUUUUUUUUCUUCAUUUGUACAUAUAUAUAUAUUUGAUUUUUUUACUUUCGCUAUUUUUUUUAUUUAUUUUUGCUUAAAAUAUAAAGAAAGGAAGAGAAAACCUACCUUUUUCGCCGGAAUCGCCGAGUUGGUGCCCCUCUCUGUCGCGAUCGGAGAUCGGGGCAUCGACGGAAGCCUUGGCACGAGGCUGAGCGGUGGCAUAUAAGGGUUGAGGAAACCCUAAAAUGGUCUGGUUUCUCCUUUGGAAAGGGGAACCCAAAAGAACA